AUACGGAGGAUCCGAGCGUUAUCCGGAUUUAUUGGGUUUAAAGGGAGCGUAGGUGGACAGUUAAGUCAGUUGUGAAAGUUUGCGGCUCAACCGUAAAAUUGCAGUUGAUACUGGCUGUCUUGAGUACAGUAGAGGUGGGCGGAAUUCGUGGUGUAGCGGUGAAAUGCUUAGAUAUCACGAAGAACUCCGAUUGCGAAGGCAGCUCACUGGACUGCAACUGACACUGAUGCUCGAAAGUGUGGGUAUCAAACAGGAUUAGAUACCCUGGUAGUCCACACAGUAAACGAUGAAUACUCGCUGUUUGCGAUAUACAGUAAGCGGCCAAGCGAAAGCAUUAAGUCAUCCACCUGGGGAGUACGACCGCAAGGUUGAAACUUAAAGGAAUUGACGGGG
rnacentral:rRNA from 1 species